UGUGGCAGGAAGUGGUUACUUUGAUAUCAGGGACCGUAAUGACAAAUGGAUUCGUGUAUGGGUAAAGAAGGGGGGAAUGAUCGUUUUACCUGCUGGCUGUUAUCACCACUUUACAUUGGAUACAAACAACUAUAUUAAGACAUUUCUGGAGUUUUUAACACUAAUAGAUUAAUUGGUGGUAGUGUACUUGAUGUGUACACUAUGCACCAGAUGAUCCAAAAGCACUUGUUCAUCAUGUUCCUAUUGGACCUAAUGCUAUGAGAGUUUGGAUUGAUAUAGCCAAUGUCCCUAAUGUGUUUUUGUGGAGGUCUGCAUCCGAAAUGGUUUUUGUUGAAGAUGUUGUUGGGAGUACAGUUGCUUGGCCUUCUAACAAAGUUGUCCUACCUUUUCGAAAACAAUUUUAGGAGAUUCUUGAUGGUGUGCAAACUGCAAUAUGCAAUCUACAAUUUGCAAAAUUGCAGACUCUUUUUAGCAUUCGAGACCCCCAUCUUUGCUUUUUGGGGUUUUCCAGUUAAGGGUGUGUUAGCUUAACUUAAGAAUCUACGUUUGGUGUUUGGUACUUUGGCAAAGAAAUCAUCAAUUCUCUCGUUGAGGCAAGACCAUUUAACAGUUUAUGGUGAACAGAUGUACAUUAUGCAUUUCUUUUCUUGUGGGUUUGGCAUUUUCUCUCUUUCAACAUAAUCAUAUAGGGUUCGAUACCAGUUUAGUUGUUGAUUAAAAAAUUGAAAAGCAAGUUUAGAGGUGGAAUAAUAUUGAUUAGGUGACUGUCAUUUUAAUAACUUAAUCAUAAAGAUGAUUCAUAAAACUCCGUUUCAUAUGAUUGGUAACGGAUGAGCAAAUAAUCAUGUUAUAAUUGUUGCAAUGAGAUUACAGGUGGAAUACAAUUUUGCAUACUGCAAUUUUGCAUACUGCAGUUUGCAGUUUUGCAUACUACAUUUUGCAUACUACAGUCUGCAAUUCUCUUGCCAUAAUAAUCCUUAUGUUUCCUUGUGUGGUUCUAACUUUGGUCAUCUUGCAGUAUGCAGUGAAGUAACCACAGUUUUGACUGCAGUUUGCAAACUGUAGUAUGCAUACUGCAGUAUGCAGAAUUGCAUACUGCAGUAUGUAAUUUUGCAUACUGCAUUCUGCAAUUCUCUUGCCAUAAUAAUCCUUAUGUUUCCUUGUAUGGUUCUAACUUUGGUCAUCUUGCAGUAUGUAGUGAAGUAACCACAGUUUCCAAAGAUGGAAUAGUUUUUUGCUUUAUACUCUUUUAUUGGCUAGGAAUGAUUUUGUGAUAACUUAUUCUUUAGAACUAAAAUUUGAUGAGCCUCUAAACCUGGGGUUUGAUAAAUGAGACUUUGCUGGUGGAGAAACGUGAUUAACUUUGUAAUUUGUACCAUUGUUUGUGCCAAUGAUGACAGUAUAUCAUUAAUGAGGCUUUAGGUUUGUUUCUUGUUUAAUACAGUAAAAUAUGUAUUUCUCAUGACCAUUUUUUGUGCCUAUGUUGACAAUAUUUCAUUAACAAGGCUUUAGGUUUUUCUGCUGGAACUAUUAUCAUAGUAUGUUAUCAUAGUAUGCUUGUGAAGUUGGAGAUAUAAGCAUGUUCUUUUCCUCUUUGUUUUGCAUUAAAUAUUUGGGGUGCUUUUGUCUUGAUCUUUUUUUGAAUUUACAAUAUAUAUGUGUUGUUAUCUUUGAGAAUAUAC